rnacentral:rRNA from 1 species
GAUGAACGCUAGCUACAGGCUUAACACAUGCAAGUCGAGGGGCAGCAUCGCGAUAGCUUGCUAUUGCGGAUGGCGACCGGCGCACGGGUGAGUAACGCGUAUCCAACCUUCCCGCAACUGGGGAAUAACCUUGCGAAAGUAAGACUAAUACCCCAUGGUCUCCACGGAUGGCAUCUGAAAUGGAGUAAAGGUUUCGGCCGGUUGCGGAUGGGGAUGCGUCCGAUUAGCUUGACGGCGGGGUAACGGCCCACCGUGGCAUCGAUCGGUAGGGGUUCUGAGAGGAAGGUCCCCCCACAUUGGAACCUGAGACACGGUCCAAACUCCUACGGGAGGCAGCAGUGAGGAAUAUUGGUCAAUGGGGCGGAAGCCUGAACCAGCCAAGUAGCGUGAAGGACGACUGCCCUAUGGGUUGUAAACUUCUUUUAUGCGGGGAUAAAGUUCGCCACGUGUGGCGUUUUGCAGGUACCGCAU